rnacentral:rRNA from 1 species
GACGAACGCUGGCGGCGUGCCUAAUACAUGCAAGUCGAGCGAAGUUUUUCUGGUGCUUGCACCGGAAAAACUUAGCGGCGAACGGGUGAGUCACACGUAAAGAACCUGCCUCAUAGACUGGGACCACUAUUGGAAACGAUAGCUAAUACCGGAUAAUAGCAUUAACUGCAUGGUUGAUGUUUAAAAGUUGGUUUUGCUAACACUAUGAGAUGGCUUUGCGGUGCAUUAGCUAGUUGGUGGGGUAAAGGCCUACCAAGGCGACGAUGCAUAGCCGACCUGAGAGGGUGAUCGGCCACACUGGGACUGAGACACGGCCCAGACUCCUACGGGAGGCAGCAGUAGGGAAUCUUCCGCAAUGGGCGAAAGCCUGACGGAGCAACGCCGCGUGAGUGAAGAAGGAUUUCGGUUCGUAAAGCUCUGUUGUUAGGGAAGAAUGAUUGUGUAGUAACUAUACACAGUAGAGACGGUACCUAACCAGAAAGCCACGGCUAACUACGUG